rnacentral:rRNA from 1 species
CCUACGGGUGGCAGCAGUGAGGAAUAUUGGUCAAUGGGCGUGAGCCUGAACCAGCCAAGUCGCGUGAAGGAUGACGGCCCUACGGGUUGUAAACUUCUUUUAUAAGGGAAUAAAGUGAGGGACGUGUGCCUUUUUGUAUGUACCUUAUGAAUAAGGAUCGGCUAACUCCGUGCCAGCAGCCGCGGUAAUACGGAGGGUCCGAGCGUUAUCCGGAUUUAUUGGGUUUAAAGGGAGCGUAGGGGGUGUGUUAAGUCCGCUGGGAAAGUGUGGGGCUCAACCGUAGAAUUGCAGUUGAAACUGGCAGGCUUGAGUACGGUUGAGGUAGGCGGAAUGCGUGGUGUAGCGGUGAAAUGCUUAGAUAUCACGAAGAACCCCGAUUGCGAAGGCAGCUUGCUAAGCCGCCACUGACGCUGAUGCACGAAAGCGUGGGUAUCGAACAGGAUUAGAUACCCGUGUAGUC